GCUCAACUAAGACCUAAGAUGGCGGCGUGCGUGCUGAGGGAAGGUACUGCGGGUCUACCAGGUGUGGAAAGCAGCCAAAGAGCAAAUCUGAGGAAAGUACAGAAGCUCGCCAACUUUUGUUUUGUGUAUAUCCUCAGGAAGUCACUCUGUAUCAGAAAUGAGAAAAGGUGUCAAUUCUAUAAUCAACUUUCCACUUCAAGAAACUAAACAAGAAAAAAAAGCAUAAUUAACCCCAAACCAGCUAAAGGAAGGAAAUAAUAAGAGGCAUUUAGUCACUUAAGAGAGACACAGCAGGAGGAGAGGUAGAAGGAGUGAAUCUCCAAGCAGACUCCCUGCCAAGCACGGAACCGGCUCAAUCCCACAACUCAUGAGACCACAACCUGAAUGGAAACCCAAGAGUGGGAUGCCUAACCGACAGUCAUCCAGGUGCCCCAAAUUAACAUUUGUUAAGUAAAACCCUUGGGAUGUUUGAUGGUGAGCCCAGGUGCUAUAAGAGACCACAAGGAAAAUUGGAAAUAGAGAGUUCAUUACUCACAGGUCUUUGGAGGUAAGUACACCACACAUCUUGAGGUGCCACAUGAAGAAGUCAAGACGGUGCAGGUAGACGGCAGGUCAGGACCUGGGGCACAUACCUUUGUUAGGGUUUGUAGGUAGUGCUUUGGGAUUUCUGGGCUAAGACUGGAUUGGUCGAUUCAAGCCUAGAAAUACAAGGUUUUGGUAAGCUUUUCAGGGGUCUGAUACAAAGGUUGCACAAGGGAAAAGCCCUGGGAGGCAAGGGAGACUUUAUCACAGCGCCAUUGGGGAAGUUGUAUUAGGACUAACAUAGUUGUGACUGUGUAGGUUGUUAUCUAGGGCAUGUGUUUGCAUGAAGAGCAAAUGUCACUUUAAGGCCCCUUCAGGCCUGUUAGCCAAACAAAAUGGAUGCUGAGGCAGCAAUAUAGAGAAGCUUAGCUAAAUUUUUGAUAUGUGUAAUCACUUAGGAAUAAAAAAGAAUGAAGUUGAUACAACAACUUGGGUGAAUCUCCAGAGAAUUAUGCCAGGUGAAAAAAUCCAAUUGUAGAAGGUAUUAUUUAUAUAGUAUUCUGAAAAUGACAGAAUCAUAGAAAUGGAAAAUAGAGUAGUGGUUAUUAAGUUUCAGGGAUGGGGUUGGGUUCAGAAGGGUGAUGAGUUGUAAGAUCACAUGAAAUAUCUUUGUGUUAAAGAAAGUGCUCUGGGGGCAGCUGGGUGGCUCAGUCAGUUAAGCCUUUGCCUUCGCUCAGAUCAUGAUCCCUGGAUCCAAUCCCUGAGUCAGGAUCCCUGCUCAGCAAGGAGUCUGUUAUAACCUUCUCCUUCUGUCCCCUGCCCCCCACCCCCGCUCAUGUACUUUCUUGCCCAUUCACUCUCUCAGAUAAAUAAAAUUAAAAAAAAAAUGUCUGCAUCUUGGUUGUCAAUAAAAGUAUCCUGGUGGUGGUGGUAUUGUAGUUUGGUUUUGUAAGCUGUUGCUGUUGGAGUAAUGUGGGUAGACAGUAAAAGGGUUAUCUUUGUAUUAUUUCUAAGAACUGCAUAUGAAUGUACAUUUAUCUUAAAAUUACAGGUUUAAUUAUAAAAGACUCUGGUCUUGAAUUACUGAUUUAUCAAACCUUUAUAGAUUUCAAGUUAUCUGGACAAGGUUUCAUUUUAUAUUUUUUUAACUUUUUUUAAAAGAA